AGUGAACGCUGGCGGUAGGCCUAACACAUGCAAGUCGAACGGCAGCACAGUAAGAGUUUGCUCUUACGGGUGGCGAGUGGCGGACGGGUGAGGAAUACAUCGGAAUCUACUCUUUCGUGGGGGUUAACGAAGCGAAACUUACGAUAAUACAGCAUACGACCUACGGGUGAAAGGAGUGGAACUUCGCGGCUUGUGCGGAUGAAUGAGCCGAUGUGGGAUUUGCUGGUUGGGGGGGUAAAGGCCAAGCAAGGCGACGAUCGGUAGCCGGACGGGGAGGCGGGUCAGCCACACUGGAACUGGAACACGGUCAAGACUCCUAAGGGAGGCAGCAGUGGGGAACAUGGGGCAAUGGGGGGAAGCAUGGUCCAGCCAUCCCACGUGGGUGGAGGAGGCGUUCGGGUUGGAAAGCCCGUUUGUUGGUAGAGAAAAGCUGCAGCUUGAUACCCAGCUGUACUGACGGUACCCAAAGAAUAAGCACCGGCUAACUACGUG
rnacentral:rRNA from 1 species